GGUGAACGCUGGCGGCGUGCCUAAUACAUGCAAGUCGAGCGAACAGACGAGGAGCUUGCUCCUCUGACGUUAGCGGCGGACGGGUGAGUAACACGUGGAUAACCUACCUAUAAGACUGGGAUAACUUCGGGAAACCGGAGCUAAUACCGGAUAAUAUAUUGAACCGCAUGGUUCAAUAGUGAAAGACGGUUUUGCUGUCACUUAUAGAUGGAUCCGCGCCGCAUUAGCUAGUUGGUAAGGUAACGGCUUACCAAGGCAACGAUGCGUAGCCGACCUGAGAGGGUGAUCGGCCACACUGGAACUGAGACACGGUCCAGACUCCUACGGGAGGCAGCAGUAGGGAAUCUUCCGCAAUGGGCGGAAGCCUGACGGAGCAACGCCGCGUGAGUGAUGAAGGUCUUCGGAUCGUAAAACUCUGUUAUUAGGGAAGAACAAAUGUGUAAGUAACUAUGCACGUCUUGACGGUACCUAAUCAGAAAGCCACGGCUAACUACGUG
rnacentral:rRNA from 1 species